UAUGGCUUCGACGGGGGUAAGAUGGGUUUGAUAAGCGAGCCGGGGGAAGCAUGGUCCCACGAGAUCAACUAUGCAAUAAAGAUAAACGCAGAAGAUAAUUUUGCAUUAGCUGCCUAGUUAGCAGCUCGUCAGCCUAAGCUUCCCGCAGCUUAGAAUCUGGCGCCGAUAGCGGGGAACCGAGCCUGCCAAAGCUUUGAGGUAGGAACGGAAUUUAUGAAGCUACUGAAGCAAGAAGCCUGUCUAUAGGCGUCUUGUAGAGGGAAUGUUAAACUAUAGACUGCGCUCGGAGAAAGUCAGGCUGGUCUGCUUUCGGACAGGGGUUCGAUUCGUA
rnacentral:tmRNA from 1 species